rnacentral:lncRNA from 1 species
AAAAAGGUGUUGAGGAAGCCACUUUUGUCUAUUUAGAUGCACACGCUGUGAGCUGUGCCUCCUCUCAUCCAUCCAUCCAUCCAUUAGCCACCCACACAGGCUAGCACUCGCUCCCUAAUGACAUCAGUGGUUCUCUCAGAGCGCAGCCACACCGUUAACAUGCUCGCUUUCACAGCCCCACGACUCCUCCAACAUCACCUCCAGCAACUCACAGCCAAACCACUGCAGUGAGGACUUAUUACGGCUCAAAUGGAGACAUUAAAGAAGAGAACAUUAUCAUUAGUAUGGUUUCCCCUUGGAUUUUGUGUUGUGUCUCUAUGAGUUCCCUCUUAAAGGAAUUAAUAUAGAAAGGGUUGCCUGAACUUGAGUGAGAAUUUGGAAUGGAUGAGGGAUACAAUUCAAAGCUACUUGAGUGUUAACUCUCAUAUCCACCAUGGAAUGUCCCGCCAUUGUAUCACACGGUGGUGCAAAAAGUACACAAUUGCCAUACUUGAUUUGCAGCCAAGAUACCGUAAUAAAAAAUGAUUCAAGUAAAAGUGAAAGUCACCCAGUAAAGUAUUACUUGAGUAAAAGUCUAAAAGUAUUUGGUUUUAAAUAUACUUAAGUAUCAACCUUUUGUGUAAUCGCUAAAAGUACAAAUCUUGUCAAAUUCCUUAUAUUAAGCAAACUAGACAGCACCAUUUUUUUAAAAUAAUGGAUAGCAGGGGCACACUCCAACACUCAGACAUAAUUUACAAACAAAGCAUUUGUGUUCAGUGAAUCUGCUAUCAGAGGCAGUAUGGAUGACCAGGGAUGUUCUCUUUUUACACCAUACAUUUUCCCUCCCACUCAUUACAUUUUGUCAGGAAAAUGGUUGAAUUGGUCAAGUACUUUUGGGUGGGAGGAAAAAUGUAUGGAGUAAAAAGUACAUUAUUUUCUUUAGGAAUGUAGUGAAGUAAAAGUAAAAAUAUAAAUAGUAAAGUACAGACACCCAGUACAUAAGUACUUUACACCACUGGUGUCACAGUGAAAGCCUUUACAUAACAACAAGUAGAUUGUCAUCCUUGGGUUUCUUGGUUAGUGGUUAUGGUUAGCCCUCAAUGGUUAGCCCUCCAUCUCCCACCAAUAUUUGACUACACAUCACUUUUGUGAUCAUCUUUCUCUCUGCAGAAGAAACAUUCAAAUAAUUAAAGAAAAACCAAAACAGUAGUUCUUUCUCCAAACUGUGUUUUAGUUGUUCUUUCUCCAGGUGGUGUUUUGCUGCAUUUGAGAGACAGCGUGAGUAAAUGAAAGCAAAAGGGCAGAACAGAACCAGUGUAAAAUGAAUACAACACACCACGCCUGUGGUGUUGUGGCCUUUUUCUUUCAUUUGUCAGCAGUGUCUGUGUACUUGUCUCAUCAGUGGGCCUGUCUGGGCAGCACAGGCUGGGGGUUCAGUCCUGAUAGAGAGAGGUAGUGCUGUUAAGGCAGAGCCUCUGUGAAACAAGAGCUCUCACCCCCAUAAUGCACCUUUAAAACAGCCUGGUACCCUG